GGCCUCGUAGCUCAGUUGGUAGAGCGUGCGCUGUACAAAAGAGUAGUCGGCGUCUAUGGGCGGGUUCAAUUCCCACCGAGGCUA
rnacentral:tRNA from 1 species